GUUUGGUUAAGUUAGAAAGGGCGCACGGUGGAUGCCUUGACACUAGGAGUCGAUGAAGGACGGGACUAACGCCGAUAUGCUUCGGGGAGCUGUAAGUAAGCUUUGAUCCGAAGAUUUCCGAAUGGGGAAACCCACCAUACGUAAUGGUAUGGUAUCCUUAUCUGAAUACAUAGGGUAAGGAAGACAGACCCAGGGAACUGAAACAUCUAAGUACCUGGAGGAAGAGAAAGCAAAUGCGAUUUCCUGAGUAGCGGCGAGCGAAACGGAACAUAGCCCAAACCAAGAGGCUUGCCUCUUGGGGUUGUAGGACAUUCUAUACGGAGUUACAAAGGAACGAGGUAGACGAAGCGACCUGGAAAGGUCCGUCGUAGAGGGUAACAACCCCGUAGUCGAAACUUCGUUCUCUCUUGAAUGUAUCCUGAGUACGGCGGAACACGUGAAAUUCCGUCGGAAUCUGGGAGGACCAUCUCCCAAGGCUAAAUACUCCCUAGUGAUCGAUAGUGAACCAGUACCGUGAGGGAAAGGUGAAAAGCACCCCGGAAGGGGAGUGAAAGAGAUCCUGAAACCGUGUGCCUACAAAUAGUCAGAGCCCGUUAACGGGUGAUGGCGUGCCUUUUGUAGAAUGAACCGGCGAGUUACGAUCCCGUGCGAGGUUAAGCUGAAGAGGCGGAGCCGCAGCGAAAGCGAGUCUGAAUAGGGCGUUUAGUACGUGGUCGUAGACCCGAAACCAGGUGAUCUACCCAUGUCCAGGGUGAAGUUCAGGUAACACUGAAUGGAGGCCCGAACCCACGCACGUUGAAAAGUGCGGGGAUGAGGUGUGGGUAGCGGAGAAAUUCCAAUCGAACCUGGAGAUAGCUGGUUCUCCCCGAAAUAGCUUUAGGGCUAGCCUUAAGUGUAAGAGUCUUGGAGGUAGAGCACUGAUUGGACUAGGGGUCCUCAUCGGAUUACCGAAUUCAGUCAAACUCCGAAUGCCAAUGACUUAUCCUUAGGAGUCAGACUGCGAGUGAUAAGAUCCGUAGUCAAAAGGGAAACAGCCCAGACCGCCAGCUAAGGUCCCAAAGUGUGUAUUAAGUGGAAAAGGAUGUGGAGUUGCUUAGACAACUAGGAUGUUGGCUUAGAAGCAGCCACCAUUUAAAGAGUGCGUAAUAGCUCACUAGUCGAGUGACUCUGCGCCGAAAAUGUACCGGGGCUAAAUACACCACCGAAGCUGCGGAUUGAUACCAAUGGUAUCAGUGGUAGGGGAGCGUUCUAAGGACAGUGAAGUCAGACCGGAAGGACUGGUGGAGUGCUUAGAAGUGAGAAUGCCGGUAUGAGUAGCGAAAGACGGGUGAGAAUCCCGUCCACCGAAUGCCUAAGGUUUCCUGAGGAAGGCUCGUCCGCUCAGGGUUAGUCAGGACCUAAGCCGAGGCCGACAGGCGUAGGCGAUGGACAACAGGUUGAUAUUCCUGUACCACCUCUUUAUCGUUUGAGCAAUGGAGGGACGCAGAAGGAUAGAAGAAGCGUGCGAUUGGUUGUGCACGUCCAAGCAGUUAGGCUGAUA
rnacentral:rRNA from 1 species